GAUAUUACUUUAUAGUAAUUUAUCUUAGUCCAGGUGCAGUGCCUCACACCUGUAAUCCCAGCACUUUGGAAGGCUGAGCUGGGAGGAUUGCUUGAGGCUGGCAGUUCAAGACUUCUUCCAUUUUAAGGGGCCUUGUGAUUACAGCUGGUCCAUCUGGAUAUUCUAAGAUAUUCUCCCUAUUUUAAGGAAGAUGAAUAAGAAGAGGGAGCCUCUUCCAGGAAGAUAAAUGCCGAAAAAGCUACCUUUUCUCCAUCUGGGGACGGAUGAUACCAAAAUGAUGCCCCCUUCCAGGCUGAUAAGGAGAGAAAUCUGAAAUCUGAGGUGCAGUUGAUUUGAAUCCAGGAAAUCUAAGGAAAAAGUUCAAGCUCUUAAUCAUUUCAUACCCUUCUUGUUGCUAACUUAAACUUUUUUUUUAAAAAAGUUAAUCUUGUCUAUGAAGCAUGAAUCUAUAAUACUAGGGAAAAAACUGGCUAACUUGAAGAAAAAAUAAAUUGAAAUGAAAAGCAAUUAAUUCCUCUUAAUAUGAAUAAAGGAUGAUCUAAAUG
rnacentral:lncRNA from 1 species